CAACUACUCCCUCCAUUCCGAAUUACUAGUCGAAGAAAUGGAUGUAUCUAGAACUAAAAUACAUCUAGAUACAUCCAUACCUGCGACAAGUAAUUCGGAACGGAGGGAGUACAAG
rfam:Triticum urartu cultivar G1812 contig689888, whole genome shotgun sequence.